AAUGAUCUCUACUAUUUUAUCUUGAAUGUAUGUCUAAAGUUUUUAAUCAACAAAUAAAACCUUUGAAAUUUUAGGUAUAAUAACACUUUAUUACUAACAUAAAUGUAAACUUGCUUACCUCAGAAGCCUCCCCACGGCUAGUUGACCGAGUUCUCAUUUAAUCUUAUAUCUUCCUCUUAUAUGUGCAUAAGUUUUAAGUCUUUCAUGAUCAUUGGUAAGCAUAUUUUAUAUGUUUUAUUAAGUAUUAAUUUUUGUGUUAUGUUUAGUGCAAACCAGUUAUGGAACCCAACUAAUUCGUUGUGGCACAACCAGGAUUCUGUUAGAGAGUAUGACCGUUCAAACUUUGAUUCGCUAAUUGCUCAUCUACAGAGACUACGAACAGAGCGAAGCUAGUCGACAUGAGAACAAUAUGCUGGAAUACAAUGUAACCGAAGAUCUAUAAUAACCUUUUGCACACAACAGUGUUGAUUAUCAUGAAUUACACAAAUCUUGUAUACUAGUGUAAAUAAUGUUCAACAUAAAGUAUUGUUUGUAGUCUACAGAA